GCUGGCGGCGUGCCUAACACAUGCAAGUCGUACGAGUAAAGCUCCCUUCGGGGGGUGAGUAAAGUGGCGAACUGGUGAGUAACACGUGGGUAAUCUGCCCUAAAGAUCGGGAUAACCUCGGGAAACCUGGGCUAAUACCGGAUACGACGUUAUCACUUAAGUGGUGGCGUGAAAGGUGGGGAUCUUCGGACCUGCCGCUUUAGGAUGAGCCCGCGGCUGAUUAGCUUGUUGGUGGGGUAAUGGCCUACCAAGGCGACGAUCAGUAGCCGGCCUGAGAGGGUGAUCGGCCACAUUGGGACUGAGAUACGGCCCAGACUCCUACGGGAGGCAGCAGUGGGGAAUAUUGCGCAAUGGACGAAAGUCUGACGCAGCAACGCCGCGUGAGCGAUGAAGGCCUUCGGGUCGUAAAGCUCUGUCAGGAGGGAAGAAACCACAGGGGAAGAUAACGCCUCUGUGCUGACGGUACCUCCAAAGGAAGCCACGGCUAACUCCGUGCCAGCAGCCGCGGUAAUACGGAGGUGGCAAGCGUUGUUCGGAAUCACUGGGCGUAAAGCGCGCGUAGGUGGUCUGCUAAGUCGGGA
rnacentral:rRNA from 1 species